rnacentral:rRNA from 1 species
GACGAACGCUGGCGGCGUGCUUAACACAUGCAAGUCGAACGGAAAGGCCCUGCUUUUGUGGGGUGCUCGAGUGGCGAACGGGUGAGUAACACGUGAGUAACCUGCCCUUGACUUUGGGAUAACUUCAGGAAACUGGGGCUAAUACCGGAUAGGAGCUCCUGCUGCAUGGUGGGGGUUGGAAAGUUUCGGCGGUUGGGGAUGGACUCGCGGCUUAUCAGCUUGUUGGUGGGGUAGUGGCUUACCAAGGCUUUGACGGGUAGCCGGCCUGAGAGGGUGACCGGCCACAUUGGGACUGAGAUACGGCCCAGACUCCUACGGGAGGCAGCAGUGGGGAAUAUUGCACAAUGGGCGGAAGCCUGAUGCAGCAACGCCGCGUGCGGGAUGACGGCCUUCGGGUUGUAAACCGCUUUCGCCUGUGACGAAGCGUGAGUGACGGUAAUGGGUAAAGAAGCACCGGCUAACUACGUGCCAGCAGCCGCGGUGAUACGUAGGGUGCGAGCGUUGUCCGGAUUUAUUGGGCGUAAAGGGCUCGUAGGUGGUUGAUCGCGUCGGAAGUGUAAUCUUGGGGCUUAACCCUGAGCGUGCUUUCGAUACGGGUUGACUUGAGGAAGGUAGGGGAGAAUGGAAUUCCUGGUGGAGCGGUGGAAUGCGCAGAUAUCAGGAGGAACACCAGUGGCGAAGGCGGUUCUCUGGGCCUUUCCUGACGCUGAGGAGCGAAAGCGUGGGGAGCGAACAGGCUUAGAUACCCUGGUAGUCCACGCUGUAAACGGUGGGUACUAGGUGUGGGGUCCAUUCCACGGGUUCCGUGCCGUAGCUAACGCUUUAAGUACCCCGCCUGGGGAGUACGGCCGCAAGGCUAAAACUCAAAGGAAUUGACGGGGCCCCGCACAAGCGGCGGAGCAUGCGGAUUAAUUCGAUGCAACGCGUAGAACCUUACCUGGGUUUGACAUGGAUCGGGAGUGCUCAGAGAUGGGUGUGCCUCUUUUGGGGUCGGUUCACAGGUGGUGCAUGGCUGUCGUCAGCUCGUGUCGUGAGAUGUGGGGUUAAGUCCCGCAACGAGCGCAACCCUUGUUCACUGUUGCCAGCACGUUAUGGUGGGGACUCAGUGGAGACCGCCGGGGUCAACUCGGAGGAAGGUGGGGAUGACGUCAAGUCAUCAUGCCCCUUAUGUCCAGGGCUUCACGCAUGCUACAAUGGCUGGUACAGAGAGUGGCGAGCCUGUGAGGGUGAGCGAAUCUCGGAAAGCCGGUCUCAGUUCGGAUUGGGGUCUGCAACUCGACCUCAUGAAGUCGGAGUCGCUAGUAAUCGCAGAUCAGCAACGCUGCGGUGAAUACGUUCCCGGG